CUCCUCUCCCAUUGCGUUAGUGUAGAAAAUAUAUUCUUUGACUCUGUUCUGAUAAAUUUCCUGUUUUUAAAAAUGCUAUUUUCUUGCCCAUGGACAGUCCUCUGAGGCACACAUUGAGCAGGAAAACUUUGAAGAAUCUUCCAGAUUUUCCAACAGAGAUGAGAACUCACCAGAAUAACCAGGCCUCCCUAGCGAGAGAAGAAACCCAGAUGUAGGCAGUGGCCAAGAUGGCGGCACUGGUCCAGCGGGCAGCCAUGACACAGCUUCUGGGGCAGAGGCCAAGCAUGGAGGCCUGUUGCUAGGAAACAGAAAUUCCCAGGCCACCUUUCACAUCCAGAGACCCUGACUUGCCCGAGUCUCUGACUUCAGUUACUCUAGCCUGUGGAAGCGGCAGGAGACAAGUAUAUAGAAUGCUGAGCUGGGCCUUCAGGGUCUGUGUUGCCAGAAAACCCCCAAAUCUGGCAAAGGAAAGUAAACAAUUAUUCAUACUCUGUGAUCUCUUUGAUGACAAUAAGAAGUAGUCUGUUGAAAAUGUGCAGGAUCCAGAAGGGAUAUUCUCCCCAUUACCCAACUCAGAGGUUUCCACAAUGGACCACACAACCCGGGGUCUGAGAGAACAAAGCCGGUGGUAGAUCCUUGCAGAGGGCAGAACAGGCUGGUGAGGGCAGACCAACGGGCUAGGGCGCUUGCUCCUCUGUCAGGGCAAGAAUUUCUUGCCAUUCUGGACGUCAGAAUGUAUAUGCCAUGGACUGAUGACCACUUUUUUCCAAUCUCUCCUCUCCAAGUCAGAGUUAUUUUGGAUGGUGUUAGAAUACUCUAUUCAAGUGCUGGGGUUGGUCAAAUUCAUCGUUCAGCCGUAGGUGGCCAGACCAUGAGGACCCAUGUCCCAGACCUAGCAGAAAGGACAGCACAUCUCCCAGAGCGGGAUACUGUGACUCGAUAAACCUUGAGUUGUCUUCGCUGGGGGAGAGAGUAAAGGCAUUUUAUGUGUAUAGGCAAAUGCAUCUUCGUAGCUGUAGUGAGAAAAGAGGGUGCGUAAGGAGAGGGCGUGUGUGGCUAUUGGGCAUCCAAGAAGAGAUAGAUGAUAGCAGUGUCAUCCGACUUGGACCCCUUUACUCAUCUCUGGUCACUGUUCUUUGAUUUUCCUUUCCAGAUUCACCCUCCCCAGCCUCAGCUCAGACGAGGCUGAGUAAGUAAAUCAGGAUGAAGCCCAUCCAGGUAUUACAUCCCCCAAUAGGAGUGAUGGAUUCAGGAAGGGCACAGGGCCCAUCAGAACUCAAGGAGUUUUUCUUUUGCUGUGGCUUCUAGGAAAGUGAGUUCAGCUGCCAGUGUUGGAGCCACUGCUUCUGUCUUGCCACCACAUGAGACCUGAGACCAAAGCCAACACAAGGAGGGCCAGGCUGAGGGACAGAGAGAAGCCAAGUUUUGAUUGUAUCAUUUGAAAUCCUGAAGCCUGGGGUAUCUAAAGCCAGACCUACUCAUGGAUCAGGCCUGGCUACAUCAUUUGUGGGGCCCAUUGUUCCAAAAGCAGGGGCAAAGUGCCAUUAAAUGUACUCAAAUAUGAAACUUUUUUUCUCUCUUCC
rnacentral:lncRNA from 1 species